CAGCAGCGGUCAUGUCGGCUGUUUUGCAGCGCAUCGAGCGCCUCUCCCGCCGGGUGGUGCGCAUCCUGGGCUGUAACCCGGGACCCAUGACCCUACAGGGCACCAACACCUACUUGGUAGGGAUCGGCACCAGGAGAAUCCUCAUUGACACUGGAGAACCAGCAAUUCCAGAAUAUAUCAGCUGUUUAAAGCAGGCUCUGACUGAAUUUAACACAACAAUCCAGGAAAUCAUAGUGACUCAUUGGCACCGUGAUCAUACUGGGGGCAUAGGAGAUAUUUGUAAAAGCAUCGAUAAUGACACUGAAUAUUGCAUUAAAAAACUCCCACGGAAUCCUCCGAGAGAAGAAAUUAUAGGAGAUGGAAAGCAACAAUAUGUUUAUCUGCGAGAUGGAGAUGUGAUAAAAACUGAAGGUGCCACUCUCAGGGUUAUACACACACCUGGCCACACUGAUGAUCAUAUGGCUCUACUUUUAGAAGAGGAGAAUGCUAUCUUUUCUGGAGAUUGCAUCCUAGGGGAAGGAACAACUGUCUUUGAAGACCUCUAUGAUUAUAUGAACUCCCUAAAAGAGCUAUUAAAGAUCAAAGCUGAUAUUAUAUAUCCAGGACAUGGCCCAGUUAUCUAUAACGCUGAAGCUAAAAUUCUAGAAUACAUUUCUCACAGAAAUCUCCGAGAACAGCAAAUUCUUACAUUGUUUCGUGAUAAUUUUGAAAAAUCAUUUACAGCAAUGGAGCUUGUAAAAAACAUUUACAAGAAUAUUCCUGAGCAUUUACAUAAAAUGGCUGAACAUAAUGUCUCACUUCAUUUGAAAAAAUUAGAAAAAGAAGGAAAAAUAUUUUGCUUUUAGGAAAAAUAACGCACACCAGAGUCCUUCCUUGAACUUCACUGUUAAGAAGGAGAAAAAAGCACUAUGAAGGGUUAGUAGUGAAAGGCCAGUGGACCACAAAUUGGAAGCUAAAGCUCUCACAGGAAUUAGAAUUUUGCUUAGGGGUUGCAGUUCUUACUCACCAUAACUACAAUCAAAGGCAUAUAACGGGAAGAUAGCCUCUCUUCUCCCUACCACAAGACCACAAAGAAUUUCACAUGCAGAAGAUUUGGGAACAUCCAAACAUUUUACCAGUAGUAAAGCUAGCAACACGGAUCCUGACAAGAAAUGGAAAGCUAAUCUUUAGUUUCAGAUUAAUGAAAGCUUUUUGUUUUUAUUUUUAGAGAAUGGUAUGUUUUCUCAACUACAGUUAUUUACAAUGAAUAUAGAGUGUAGAACAUUGAAAAUAACCCUAGAUAUACUUUAAAAUAAUAUGUUACUUCUUCUAAAAUAUAUAUUACAUUUUACGUAUAUAAUAUAGGUUAUUUAUCUAAUCCAAGUGUUAUAACAUUUUACCAAAAACUCAGAAUCCAACAGUUUAUCCAAAUUCAGCAGAUUUAUGGUUACUUUAAAAAUCAUAAAAUUUAUUUAAGUUAAACUGGGCAUUAUUCUUGGAGAUUCGUUAUCUAUUACAAAUGGCUAAUAAUAGUGUUUACUCCAGCUGCUUCAGUUAACAGAACAGAUUUCUAUGUAAUCCUUCUUUAUUUCUAUCUGUAGAUAAUAGCUUGUUUUCAUGUUUCUAUCAAUUGUAUUAUGAUUUGGCUUUAGUUCUAUAGCUCUGCAUCCUGUGUAUUUUUUAUAAUGUAUCUCACAAAUGAUUCAUAAACAUCAACUUAUGGUAAUUAAAAAAUAUUAAAUUCCUAAUUAAAAGCAUUA